GCAGUGCAGUGACAGCAGGAAAAGACACCUGGAGAUCGCUGAACUCCUGAAGAAGUUACCUGGAAGCAGGAGCUGAUAGGGGAUAUUUAGCACCAGCCUGUGACAUACCAGCCUUGCCCACUCCUGGAGAGCAGCAGCUUGAGCAGAGUGACUGCAGCCCCUAUGGAAAAAAUUCCUGCAAUCUCCUUACCCCCCGCCCCAGCCUUGGAGUGUGCUCUGCAUGCCGAGUGCUCUGAGGUAAUGGGACUCGUGUUUGCUUUGCUUGAAUGUAAAACUGGUGCUGAAAUGUACAUUUUCAGUCGCCUGACAUCCCGAGGAGCUGUUUGUCUGUCAGUGUGCUGAGGCUGUGCGCGGUUUCCCUCUUGCCCUUGGCUGGAGGUGGCUGCAGCCAUUGGCUCUCGAGCCUCUGCCAU
ensembl:lncRNA